UAACCACUCAAGCCUGUCUUGGUGUUGGGGAUUGCGAAUCUUGCAGCCCUAGAGUCCAGUAGCGUCACCUGUAGGUCCUAAGCGUAGUAAUUUCUCCUCGCUACAGAGCCUGCCGGUGGAUAGUGUAAAUCCAGUUAAGUCUGUGUGUCCUGCUAUUAAACCCCCAAAUUUUAAAA
rnacentral:misc_RNA from 1 species